UCCGUAGCUGGACUGAUAAGUCUCUUGGGAAAUCCGCCGGCUUAACCGGCGGGCGUCUAAGAGAUACUGUUAGUCUAGGGACCGGGAGAGGUGAGAGGUACUCCGGGGGUAGGAGUGAAAUCCUGUAAUCCCUGGGGGACCACCGAUGGCGAAGGCAUCUCACCAGAACGGCUCCGACAGUGAGGGACGAAAGCUGGGGCACAAACUGGAUUAGAUACCCGAGUAGUCC
rnacentral:rRNA from 1 species